rnacentral:rRNA from 1 species
CCUACGGGAGGCAGCAGUAAGGAAUAUUGGUCAAUGGAGGGAACUCUGAACCAGCCAUGCCGCGUGCAGGAAGACAGCCCUCUGGGUCGUAAACUGCUUUUAUUCGGGAAUAAACCUUUCUACGUGUAGGAAGCUGAAUGUACCGAAGGAAUAAGGAUCGGCUAACUCCGUGCCAGCAGCCGCGGUAAUACGGAGGAUCCAAGCGUUAUCCGGAUUUAUUGGGUUUAAAGGGUGCGUAGGCGGCUUAUUAAGUCAGGGGUGAAAGACGGUGGCUCAACCAUCGCAGUGCCCUUGAUACUGAUGAGCUUGAAUACACUAGAGGUAGGCGGAAUGUGACAAGUAGCGGUGAAAUGCAUAGAUAUGUCACAGAACACCGAUUGCGAAGGCGGCUCUCUGGACUGUAACUGACGCUGAGGCACGAAAGCGUGGGGAGCGAACAGGAUUAGAUACCCCUGUAGUC